rnacentral:lncRNA from 1 species
ACUCAUUUGAAGGUUUGAUUCUUACUUUCAUCAUUGUAUUGUCAACAAAUUAUUUCCGUUCUGGUAUUAUUUAGUGUUUAUUGGGAUGGUGUAAAAUCGUCUUUUAAUCAUGGUUCAAAAUUGCGGAUGCGGUUGCAGAUGAUGCGAUUGCAGUCAUUGCGGGUUGCUACGAUCGCACUGAGGCUGUUGUAGCGUGAUUUUGAUUGAGAAAGAUUUUAAAUACAUAGUUGAAAAACACUUACUGUUAAAAAAUUUCGUAAAUUGAGUUUUGAAAACUAUGAGUGUUCGAUGAAAAUACUUGAAGAAACAUAGAUGAAAUUGUCUGAUGGGGUUCUUAAUGUGGGUCGAAAUCUGAUUUUAAAAUCACUGUGCAAUUGCGGUCCGAUACGUUGCGGAGGCUACGCAUCAGCAAAAAUUUCAGCCGCAAUUGCGGUUGUGGACCGCAAUUUAAAACCAUGCUUCUAAUUUGAUUUGGAUUCUGUUUGACUGAGAAAUCAUGAAUUUGACAUAUUUACAACCUAAAUUUGUUUGAUUUUCUAUUGGAGGGUUUCAAAUUUGCUAAAUCUGACUAAAAAUACAAAGUUGAAAUAUGAGUAUCUAAACAAACCAGGUUGUUUGAUUAUGGAAUAUUUGUGGAUUCUCUAAGGACUUUUCCUGCAGUCAAGAACAUCCAGAUUGUUCUAUUUUUAAUACUAAUUAUUUCUAAACUUUGAUAAACCAAAGUUGAAAUUGAUUAUCUGAUUUAAGGCAACCCAGGUUGCUUGAUUGCGAUUUUUUUAUUUAUUUAGAAUCUUACAGCAGUAGGGGAGGUUUCAACUGGGGAAGUUGAAAAAUACAACUUACUGUCAUAAUUUUCUUUUUUUGAUUUUACUAUUUAAUUUAAACUUAAACUUUUUUCCUCCUAGAAACCAAUAAAUGCACAUUUUAUAUUAACAAUGCUUCUACUCUUUUGCACUCACGCUGACUUUUAGGGAGGAAUGAGAGAAAACCUUCUAUUAUGCUAUGUGAUUUAUAUUUUACAUGCUAAUUUACAGGACACACAGCAACAAAAGCAGGAAACUCUAAGACAUCGAUUGAACAAGAAAAACCUUGUGACCGUGCCGCAGUCAAAGUCUGCAGUUGGCAAAUAACAAUCUCAAACCUCGGAAAACAAUCAAACGUCGAAGUAAAACGGCUUUACAGAAGGAUGAGCAACCUCAACUUGAAUUACUAUGUAACAAAGAACAGUCAAAGUGUCAAACUUUAGCAUCUCUGAUACUGGAGGAACGGAAAGUAGAACACUAAGGAGUUUAGGUGAGGAGAAUGGUAUGAUGCAGCAUAAUUUAGUGAAGGAACAAAAUCAGUCUAAUGAAGAUGCUUUACCAAACAGAGAGAGCAAUCAUCAUGAACAACAACAUAAUAAUGUGAAUGCUUUAUAUGGUCAUGGUAAGCAUGCAGAAGAAAUCAUUGCGAAUGUUAGACACAAAAGUUGGGUGAGUCCAAUAACGACAAUAAUAUGCCGUUGCAGAGUGCUUCCAGAUUUCUGAAUGUCUAAAACAGAAGGGAGAUUUCUCAGAUGAUUUGGUUAUGCAAUAAAAAGAAUUGAAUCUCGCAUUUUGGCUUUUAAACUUUGCUCGAAUUUGGUGGAAUCCUGUAAGAGCAACAGUGCAGUUCGCGAUCCUUUGCACAAAGUAGCUAAUUUGGAAAGUCCCAAAAUACAAAGAAAAGUCAGUGCUGGCAAGAAGAUCACUUUAAUUGUAAAAAGUCUCUCUUGGAAGGACAUAGGCUAAUGGAUCAAACACACUCGUGAUUCAAGUUCUAAAGGUUAAAAACUUGAUUUCAGAAAGUGCAGCCGAGGAACCCUUUUUAGAUCGAAAUAAUCAUCGAGUCAGAGUCAGGUGGCUUAUCAGAAUGUUGGCUUCGUACAGUUAAUGCAGAGUCUGCCAAGAGUGUUAACAUACCAAUGCAUAUACUACACAGUUAGUAUCAGGUGAAGAAGAAUUGAGAAGUGGAACUGGAUUCAACCUUCAGUACAAAACAUGGACUGAUAGAAAGAGUCAAGUCAUUGAAUAGGUUAGUUAGUGGUGAUGCCCACCUUGGAAAUCAAGCUAGUGAGUGUAUUCAAGGUUUGAGGGUUCCUUUGAAUCAAGCUGGUUUACUAAGAAGUCUUCCAUGUUUUCUAGUCAAACCAAUAGGGAAAGUUUGGUCAGAAAAUCUCCAAUAGCAGGUUGGUCUAAGCCUGAUCUGAAUCAUAAGGAAAGGAAUUCUGAAUCUUGUCAUGCACAGAAUUUACAAGAUUUACACCUACUGUUGCCCGAAGAGAAAAGCCACUGCCUCAUCAGAUGGUAAUAAAACCAACUCUAUGGACAGAGAUCCAAUGAGAUUAAGGUGAAUUCCCAUCAACAUAGAGAUGAAUCAGUCUUUUAUACAGGAGAGGAACUCAUAAGACAGGUAAUGUUGAGCUCUUGUAAAACUAGGUUGAAACCCAACUUCGUGAAACCAGAGGAAUCAAUCUCAAACUCUGAUUCGUUCUCGAUGGACUUCUCAGCAAGACAGUGCCAAUACUAGUAGUGAAUCUGAGGACUCCUCUUGUCAGUUGGUACAAAGGUUCCUAAUCAGGAAGGAUGGUUGAUGCAUUAUAUGAAGGAAGCUCAAAAGAGAGUAGUGAUUCAAAUUUCAAUAUAAACAAUGCCCGCUUCACAUCAGAGUUGGAAGUUUUUAAAUCUUAUGGAUUAUCACAAUGAAAGAAAUCCAAAGAAAACAUUCGAGGCCUAAAGAGGCUGAAAAAAUAAGUUGGGACUAAUCUUUCACCACCAUCAUCAUCACGCAUCACCAUCACUGAUUGGUGACAUGGUAGCCUUCAUUCUUAUGAAGGUCCUAGACAUUCAAUGUGGAAUCACUUGCAGAAUGUUUUCCAUCACAAAAACAAGUCUGGAAUGAUAAACAAUCAAAAAGUUGAGAAGACAAGGAGAGGGCUACUACAAAAGUUGUGCCACACAGAAACCAGAUUGGCCAUUUUCAUAGACUUGUGGAAGGACUAAUUGAGACACGUCCAGCAUUCAAAGAAGCCAAAGCCUUCCAGGCAUGGUUUGGUUAAAGGGUCUCAUGAUAAUGCACAUGACAUCGGCAAAAGAACCUUCAUUGGUGGCAAACCCUUCGACGAAGCCGAGGGGUGAAGUUGAAAAAGAAAGGCCGAGUUAAAAAAAUGGGCUUUUAUAAGCCAAAAAUCACUUAACAACUAAGUCUGAAUUUGGGUGCACAUUUGCGUUUCUGGUCUUGCACAGUAUUGCCUUCUAGCUUGUGGCAUUACAGUUCUUUCAAUAUAGGUUCUUAUCAACUUAUUGCAAUCAGUUAUACUUCUUUCUGAUUUUCUUCUAUUUUCCUAGAUAUUUUGGCUCUGUUGAAUGGCCACUUGGUGAUUCUCCCAAUUUGGUUAAUGUUGGCUUGGUGAUUCUGGAUUUUGUUUGUCCAUGGUGAUCCUGGAUAUGCUUCAAAUAUUUUUAUACAGAUGAUAAUAUAUACAUAUUUUUUGUUAAUUUUUGAAUUUCAAAAAUGAUUAUUCCUUUCUGAUAUUUAAAGAUCAAAGCAAUUUGGUACAAUAUGACUGUUGAAUACAAUGUAUUCAUUUGUUUUAUAAAUAUAAUUAAUCAUGUCUUUUUGUUCAUUAAAAAAUUAAUUAAUCCAAUGCUACAUGACAUGCAUACCACCAGACUUCUUUUUUUGUUGACAUUUAUUUUAAAUUCCAAUUUGGUGAUUUCAAUAGUUUUAUUAAGGUAGAGUUAUAUAGUUGAAAAUUUUUGUUAAGCUGUGCAUAGCUUCUAGUUUUUAUGGCAGUUUAUGUUGUAUAAUUUCGUUAUGCAUAUUUUUCUUAUUUUUGAAAGUGUAUAGCUUGGUAUAGAAGACAAUUUUACAGCUGUAAUGAAAAAUUCUUCCUCUACUUCUUUCAACCACGGUUGGACAUAUGAUGUGUUUGUGAGAAAGAAAAUUUGGUAGAAAACUAUGGAGUGAAAGAAAGAAAAAGGACAAUUAGUUCGUCUAGUUUUCUACCAUGUUGACCCUCGUUUAAAAGAAAAUGCAAAUAGGUUGAAACAUAAGAGGUAUAUUUCAUGAGAUGAAUGAAUGUAUCUUGAUCUCGAGAGUUGCUAGAACCCACAAUUAAGGUUUAAGGUUUAGUUUGGAGUGAUAGAAUCAAUUGAAAUGGAAUGGAGGAAUAUUCCAUUGUUUGAAUCAUUUAAAAUAGAUUGGAGUAGAACGGAAUGGAGUGGUACGGAGUCCGUUAUAUUCUAUGACUUGCUACCAUAUUUUUUUCCUUUAAUUUCAGUUGAAUAAAAUUUGUCUUACAUGAAAUGUUUGUAAUGUUGAUUUAUGUUAUUUUGCUUUAGUCUCUAUAAAAUUUGACUUACAUGUUUGAAUAUUUAUUUUGCUAAUUUUUAGUCAUUAUGCUAUUUUUGUUGGGAUUGUAACAGAAAAAAUGAGAGCAAAAUGAAAAAAACACUCGUCAUUAAAAAUAAUUAAUUCAUGGAUUAAGAUAAAAAAUGAAAAAAAUUAUGAAAGUGUGUUGAUUAUGAGUGAGCUCGUGUAAUGAGAAUGUGAUUGUUGAAGUGUGUUGAACCUUGAUAAUUGAAUGAGGAAGGGUGCUUAUUGUUAUUUAUAGAUGGAGAGUGGUUAUGAUUCUGUUAUGAAAUAUCUGUUAUGAAAUGAAAAUGUAGUUCACUCAAGUGAUUCUCAAGUGCAGAAGUUGGUUGGAGAUUGAGAGUUAGUUAGGAAAUUGGUUUCAACUGAAAUUCACAGUGAAAUAUAAAUUUGAAUUUAACUUCUGCCUGUGAAAUGCAUUAGUUAUGGAUCUAUCUUGACAUGAACUUGGACUUAAAUUGUAUUUUCGUUUUAGGUUAUUUUCGAAGUGAAUUUGAGUGUCAUUAAAAUGUGAAAUGCAAAUCGAUUUAGAGCUGGUGUAUUAUCCUGAAACUAAUCUGCAGAAUGCUAUAGCAGUAAAAUGGUUUGGGUUGAAAUUAUAUUUCUUUCGAAUUCUGCAGGGAUGUUUAACAGCAAAGAAAGGCUUAUAUUAAAAUCCACUUUUCUGUCAAAUUUUGCAGGGUGUUAAGCAGUAACAAAAUGCUUGUAUUGAAUAUGCUCUUUCCUGUCAAAUUUUGCAGGGUGCUAACUGGUGUAGCAGUACUGCAUCUUCUGUCCACUUCAUUCUCAUUUUGCUUGAAAUGACAAUGGAUUUGUCUUGUCAUGUGGAUUGUUUUGCAGGUUGGUUUGAGGGCUGCACCUUGCACUUGGAUUGCAUUGGAAUGGGCCAUGGGAAAAUAUGGAUCGGAAGGAAUGGGACUGCAUUGGUUUGGAAGAGAUCUUGACUAUGAAUUGGUAGCUUAGGAGUUUGGACUAGGUUUGUUUUUUAUUGACUCAAUUGUAAAGUGUAAGGCAUGUACAUGAGUUUUAAAAAUGAAUGAAGGUUGUAUCUCUUUGAAUGCAUUAAACAUUGAAUGAAAAAAUAACUUCCAAUUUUCUUUACUUGUUCCUAAAGCAAAAAUAAAUAAAUUAUGAAAUAAAAUGCAUUAAAAGCAAGAUUUUGUGAUUAAAGAUGAUAUAAAUGGAAAAAUCAAAUUUUAAAAAAUGAAUUAUCUAAAAAUAAGAAAAUUGAUAAUAAAAGAAAAUAGAAAAUAUAAUUUUUGAUUUUUUUUGUGUGAUUUAUUGACUCGAUGAAUUUGAUUAAAC